GGUGUGGCCAGGCUCUGCCUCUGGAUGCCCGCGAUCGGACCUCGCAGCCCGUGAGAGUCAACUGAGCAGGCUUGGUUCCCGGGAGGGCUGAUCGCCGGGGAGGCUUAGAGGGGGUAACGAAGAACUCAUUUUGCUCUGGACGGGGCAAAACACCGGUGGUAGAGCGUUGUGCAGUUCGCAGAGAGGUUUGUCAUAAAUAAUAAAUAUUUGGGGGAAGCGGCUCAGCUAGGAGCGCCAAUUCGGGCACCACCAGACUGCCCGAGUUUUAAUCCCUGCUGUGCUACAUACUGGCUGUGUGACCUUGAAGCUUAACCUCUCUGCUUUAGUCUGAAUCUGUAAAAUGAUGACCAUUUUGGAAAAACUACCUAGAAGAGUGAUUAUCAUACAAUAAACACUAAAUAAGCUUUUGUUAUAUAUAAAUAAACAUCUAGUGAGCACUCUUAUCAGGCACUGUACUAAGCACAUUACAUAUAUUUUGUUGAUUCUUAAAACAAACCUAUAAUGUAGGUAUUGCGCUUAUUUUAAUGAGAAAAUUGAGGAUCCAAGAACUUAAGUUGCCUGUGAUCACAUCACUGGUUUAUCGUGGAGUGUUUAAAAAAUAACAGGCAUUGAUUUAUUAAAUUAUGCGUUUUCUUCUGCAUGUAAACACGAAUUAGGCAUUCCUAUAAAUGACCCUGCCGAGGCUCGUGUUUUUUAACAUGAUCAAUAGAGUGUGGUAGUAUUAUGAGAAGGAAAUAGAAACCAGUGUGUAGGAGCCAGGCGGGGUUGGGGGGCUGGGAUGGUGAUGAACAGGGAGGUUCAGGACCCCUAGCAUCCUGGGGUGCCCAAAGCCUCCGAAGUGGGGGAAUGAGCUCUAGGAGAUGAGAUAUGGGGAAGAAUGCACCUUCUUGAGAACUGGGCCCCAAACAGAAGAAUUGUGUUCAUGAGUGGAAAGAAAAAUGUAUUUCAAAGUAGAAAAUGUGGACUCUCUAUUUUCUAACUCUUGACUUGUAGCAAGUAACAUUUUUCUUCUACACCUAAGUUUCCUCAUACGUAAAAUGGCAAUACAGACAAAGUGUGAAUGAGUAAGACUAAAACCACUGGGCAGUACAUUACACACCCCCAGAUAGGCAAAAUUUAAAAAAUGCAACAGUACUAGAUAUUGGUAAACAUAUAGAGCAACAAGAUCCCUCACUCCUAGUGGAAAUGUAAAUUGAUACAAUCACUUGGGAAAACAGUGUUGCAUUAUCUAAAAAGUAGUAAAAUACCUAUAUCUAUGCCUAGAAAUUCCAUUUUGCCUGUAUUUUAAAGUGUAUGCUUUAAUGCAUUGUUUCUUAAACUGCUCCAAAGACUCCCGGGAGCCUUUCAGACCCUUUCAGAGGGUCUGAGAUUAUUGUGUGAGGCUGGAUUUUCAUCAUGUAUCUCAACCAAAACAACUAAAGGAUUGAAAGUAAAAGCAGAUGAACACCCAACUUCUUAUGAGUCUAGAUAUUAGAUUUACAAAAAUGUAAAGCAUUGCCACUCAUCUCAAAAUUUUAAUUUGAAAAGUAUAGCUGUAUUUCAUUUAGAGAUGUGUUAUUUUUGUUAACAUGUAUUGGAUGAAUUUUGCCCCCGCCCCCCAAAAAACAUAUUUCAAUUAUAGUACUAACUCCCAGUCCUUGUGGAACUUGUUGUCUUUAUAAGAGAAAGAAGAGAGAGAUUUGAGGCACAAACACAGACUCACAGGGAGAAAGCCAUGUGAAGACAAAGCAGAAAUGGAGAGAUGUGUCUGCAAGCUAAGGAAUUCCACGGACUGCCCACAGUUACCAGUGGCUAUAGGAGAAAGGUACCUAGUGGAUUCUCUGGUAGAGCAACUGGAAGGAACCAACCCUGGCAACACUUUAAUUUCAGACUUCUGGUCUCCGCAACUGUUGUUUUAAGCUACCACAUUUGUGACUAAUUUGUUACAGCAACCUCAGGAAACAAAUACAACAGGUAGUGGGUUUAUUGUUAUUUUACAUGAGUUACUCAAUGAAUCUUUUUAUGCAUCUCGGGUCUCAAUUGAAAUUUUUAUUAAAAUUUUUUAUUUAUUAAUUUAUUUACAUUUGUUUCCUGACUUUUAAGAUUCUGGGAUCAAAACUUGGUGAACCACUGCUUUAGAGAAACUCCCACAGACGUAUAUCAGGAUACAUAUAUAAGAAUGCUUAAAGCCAAAUCCUAACAAUAAGUCCCGUGUUGGAAAUAUCCCAAAUAUCCAUAAAUUUUGUUAUAUUUAUAAAAAUGGGACAACAUAGCGAUGAAAAUGAAAGAUUUUAGCUGCACAGGACAAUGUGGGAAUCUUACAAACAUAAUGCAAAAUAAGCUAGGCAAAAAAUUCAUACCCAACAGACAGGAUGACAGAAAGCAAAACUAAACGGUACUGUUUUGCCUAAUAUCUAGUGAAACCAUGCAAAGAAGCAAGGGAAUCAUGAUUUCAAAAGUCAGGAUGGUGGGGAAGGCUGAGGUAAUAAGAGAAACAUGGUGUGGGGGUUACUUCAGUACUAAUUCAGCACAGCAGUGCUCUUUUCCUGACCUAGGGCAUGGUUACACGUAUUUCCACUUUGCAAUUACCUGUUAAACUUAUAUAUCUUUUAUAUACUUUAUGUAUAUUUCACAGUAAAAGAAGGACAAAUCACUAUGUAAAAGUUGGGGUGGGGGGUGAGGGAAGAAUUGUGUUCAUUUUUGCGAUCACUCUACCACACUGAAUAAAAACGAAAGUGAAUAAAACUAGAUUGUUGUCCUUGCAGGAUUCACAAUCCAAAAAAUAGACAUUUAGUUCUGCUUCAGAUUUUUAGUUGUUUUUUUCUCUUUGCCCAGAAUUACUAAGAAGAACCAGAGUCAACAUGUGAAAAAGCUUUAUAAAGUACACAAAUAGAUAUAAUCUUUAUGUCAGGUAUGCAUUUGUACUAGAGACUACAAAAUAUCACAAGAGAAGAAUAAACCAUGAUUUGUUCAGUUUAUACUGAACACAGCAAUGGAAAUUUUGACCCAAACUGUCUUUGAAGCUAGAUGAUCUCAUACCCCUUCCUGACGUAGACAGUGUAGUGAGGUGUAGGAUUGAGAAAAUACCAAAAAUUGCUUGAGAGAGGAGAGACUUUUUGUGUAAUUCUCCUUCAAAAAGCUACUAUUAAAAAAAAAUUUUUUUUCUUAUUACUCUUAUAGGGUCUCUUAUUUUGAUAUGUUAGAAUAUUACAUCAAAUAAGUAAUCAGGUUAGAACCAACAUAAAUAUACAGAGUAGUUUCAUAAGACAAAGUUUGGGAGAGGGGCAGGGAAGCUGCUGUGAUCCUCGCGUGAGCAUCAGAUGCAGAUCAGGGAAGCCCUGGGGUUAAUGAAGCACUUGCCCAUGCAGAGAGGAAGGUGACAGUUUAGGCAGUACCCUGACACAAGGUUGUAGGGACCAGAAAUGCCACAUUGUCCCUAUUUUACCUACAACCUGCAUUGUUAUCUGAAUCUGAGAUAUCCCCCAAAACCUGUUGGAGAGCAAUUUAGGCACUAGAGUUAGCCCCUGUUCUAGUAUUUUUAGAGAUAAUCUAGGUGCUAGUAUUUUACAUGGGACAAAUAACCAUGCAUUCCAUAUCCAUACAAAAAAUCCAAGCAGUUUUCCUAAAUAUCAUUAAUAACACUGUUCGACUUCUGUAACAAUCCAGUAAGUAUUCCACAUGAUUUAAGCACAUGAAAAAGUAAUUGUCCAAUUAUUUAACACCUAAUCAAUGGUAAGUUUGUAUGAGGCCCUGAAGGAGAUUAUACAGUAUGAGAUGUGAAUCAUGUUUUCCUCCUACACUGCAAUGAAUAUGCACUGUAAUGUAAAUAAACAAGGGCAUACUAUAUUAAAGAUACAUAGUAAUACAGGAAACUAAAAUGUGAUCCAAAAGAUGGCAGUGAACAAAUAGGUACUUCCAAUCCCCUAAGUGAGGUUUAAUGGUGGUCAGGAAUGGGGACUGUCGUCUUGGUAGAGUUUGGUAGUGGGCGGAGUUUGAGACAGUGAGCUAGUAAAGAUGUUAAGUGAGACAGUACAUGCUGGAAGUUUGUCCAGGUCAGAGAAUAGGUGGACGGUCUUCUCAGCUCUGCCAUCCAGGCUCACUCAAUGGCUGAGAAGCCUCACCUGAAGCAACAGGACAAUAACCAAAAUAUCCAAUAAAAUAGCUCCUCAAAAUGGUUAGCAUUCCCUUAUCUUACAGUUAUACACCCCCUAAUCAUAAGAGUGUGUAUGGAAAUGCAUUUUGAAUGUGAUAGUCCUGCUCAUAUAGUCAUUUGCAACACCAGUCAUUUCCUGUGCAUGAUCUAAAAUAUCUCUUCAACACUUGGCAUUGAGUAUUCAGAAUUGCUCUUCUUCCUCUUCCUCUUCUGACCAAUAGUAAGCAUUAAGUUGAAAAAGUUUGUCUAUUUCUUCAACAUUUUCCCUAUGUAACUCUAGCCGAUAUAUAUGUGAGUGUAUGUAUACAUACACAUAACUAUAAUCUUAGUAACAUCUGUGAUUUUUUGCUUUGAGGUGGUACUUUCCCCAGAACACUCGUAGUCAGCAGCUAAUUGGCAGAAUUUCCAGAAGACUUUUUAAUCUAAUGUCUUAGUCCAUUGGGCUGCUAUAACAAACACCACAGAUUGAGUGGCUUAUAAACCACAGAAAUUAAUUUCUCACAGUUCUGGAGGCUGGGAAGUCCAAGGUCAAGGUGCCAGUAUGGUUGCCUUCUGGUGAAGGCCCUUUUCCUGGGUCCUUCCUGUAUACAACUCCCACCUUCCCACAUGCCCGUUUUUAUAAGAGCAUUAAUCCUUGGUGAGGGCUCCAUGUUCAUGACCUAAUCACCUCCCAAAUGCCCCACUUCCUAAUACCAUCACUGUUGGAAGUUAGGAUUUCAACACAGUUUUUUCUUUGGUUGCAUCCUAACUGGAAAAGAUCCAAAUUAGGUCUGCAAAGUGCUCUGCCUCCUCUCAUCCAGGUGUGUAAGCUAACAUACAUAUUUGGGCUGGCAGAUGCUUGCAGAUCCAUCACAGUGGGCUUUGAUUUAGAGUGAAUUGGGACUGAAAUUGUUUGCAGUCUUCAUAUAGUGAGAAUUCAGAAAGUACAGAAUACUUGUAUGUUUGCCCAGCCCCCACAGAUUGCUCCCUGGAAAGGCUUGCCUAUCUCUGAUAUUUAAGAAGAGAUCAAAUGGGCACACUGACUUCUUAUUCUUCACAGUGCCUCAGUCUGUUUGAAGACAUAGACGUGGAGAUACUUGCAAAGGACACAUAUUCAAACUCUUCUGAAUACCCAACUCUAUGAGGAAUGUGAAACUUAAAGAUGAAGUAGCCUCACUAAUUGAUAGACACGGGAAUCAAAGCCAGAUCUGGCUGGACCAUUGACCUCUACAGCUAUGCUGUCUCUCACCUGGAGCUCCUUGAAACAGUCACUCUGCUUUUCAACUUUCCUGUAUCCAGAAGGAAAACCACAACCACCACGUCACAUAGCCAGGAUUCCAUGGGUGUUUGAAAUCUCAAGUUGGCACAAAAACUUCAGAAUACCUGGAUGAGGACUGCCAUUCCAGGUAAUAGGAAGAAAGAGACCCCGAACCACCCAUGUGGGGCCCAGAGACUCAGUUUCCUGUCCUGCUGCUGCUAUGGCUGACCAGAGAAUUCCUUGUCCAUCAGAACAUCUGUUUCAUCCUCAGUAAAACCACCAAAGUGGACACGAAGCUUUCUCAGCACCCUGCCAGCUUUAACACACAGCCACUCAGUUCUCCGUAAGGAUGGGGAGCAGGCUCUAGGUCUAGCCCAGACGACCAGUGCCUGUGCAGGUGAGGGUUGCACCCAGCUCAUUCUCUUCUUCCACCUUCCCACAAUAGAAGCCAAUUCCAGGAAAGGCAAAAAAAAAAAAAAAAAAAAAUUCAGCCCUUUCCUCCUCAGUGAAAAGAGAAGACCCAUGCUGUCUGUAAUAUAAGCAGAACUUGUGGGGGGCAGAGGGGGGAUUUCUCGUUGCCUGAGCUGCUCUGCUGUUGUAAGUAUGACCCCCCGGGGGGUACACCUCAGCCAGGGGCAAAAAUACCUUUGAAACCAAAAUCAGUCAAAGGGAGAAAUAAAGUGGGAGAAACCCUUUUAGUGCUUGUAAGCAGUCAUCCACUUCUGCUCGUCCACGUAUCUCCUGAGCCGGCUGCAGAAGAAAAGGGGCCCCACCCAACCUCCCUGGUCCAGACGCGCUCUCACUCACUCCCCAUAAUCACCUACUGAUGUGGAGAUGUACUAAGGCCAGAGGAGAGAUUCUGGAAAUGUUGCAAAAUUACCCACAGUAAGUCAGAGUGCAGUGUAAUAACGGUGACUGUGCUUGCUAAUUUGUCCUUCCAAAAGAGGUAAAAAGGACUAUAAUUGACAUCAUUAGGCCCAUUAACCUAUUAGUUGGCAGGAAUAGGAAGUAGUGGGGAAAAACCUGGACUAUUGUCAAAGCUACCAUCCUCUGUGAUUCAGAUUAAACAUACACACCCUAUUUCACUUAAUCACUUGAAUAUUACUGAAUGUCUGUGAUGGGUCAGGAACCCUGCCAGGCAGUGAGCUACAAUAGUGGGCCAUACAUACAGGGUCCUAAAAUCCUCAGCAUCAGGCAAUGAAUGCUCCAAAUACUGGGCCCUUUUGCUCUUGUGGCUUAUUAAGGCCUGGAAACUUCCAUCAAGGAAGAAAAUUUGAAGGAGAAGGUGGACUCCUAAGAAAAAAGCAGGGUACCUACAAAAGAGGGUGUUUCAAAGUUGCGCUCCUGGGCUUACAGGGUGUUCGGUCCCACAGAGCACAGAGGGGAGGGGCAAGCCAGGGUGAUGGAACUUGUCCCAGUUUUGCUCCUUUUUGGCCCAUCAUUUUGUCAUUGGUGAUUUGACAAUUGCCAGCUCCCUUGGUGGGUCGAUCUGACCUUGACUGAGAGCACUAGGUUUCAGUGAGGUAGUGAGGACAACUCACAAAAGUCUGUUACUUUCACAAACAAUUUUAAAGCCACAGUGCGGCAAGAGUUGCCAUUGUCUGAGGAAAGUGUAAAAAGCUCUCAUUUUCUAUGUUGUUGGGUUGUCACCAGUUUCUGAAACACCAGCCCUGUUUGAACAGACUCAAACAAUGAAAACACAUUGUGUUGCGGUGGCUUGUAUUUCAUCCUCCUGUGUGAAUUGGGUCAUGUUCUGCCCUCAGGGUAAGUUAUUGGCACAUGUUGUUUCUAUUUUUAUUUUUAUUUUUUUAAUAUAUAUUUUUUAUUAAGAUAUUAUUGAUGUACACUCUUAUGAAGGUUUCACAAAGAAAAACAAUGUGGUUACUACACUGACCCAUGUUAUCGUGCCCUCCAUACCCCACUGCAGUCACUGCCCACCAGUGUAGUAAGAUGCCUCAGAGUCACUAUUUGCCUUCUCUGUGCUACACUGUCUUCCCCGUGAUCCCCCCCAACCAUGUGUGCCAGUCAUUAUACCCCUCAAUCCCCUUCUCCCUCCCUCUCCCCGCACCCACCCUUCCCCACCCCUCCCCUUUGGUAACCACUAGUCCCUUAUUGGAGUCUGUGAGUCUGCUGCUGUUUUGUUCCUUGUUUUACUUUGUUGUUAUACUCCACAAAUGAGGGAAAUCAUUUAGUACUUGUCUUUCUCCGCCUGACUUAUUUCACUGAGCAUAAUACCCUCUAGCUCCAUCCAUGUUGUUGCAAAUGGUAGGAUUUGUUUUCUUCUUAUGACUGAAUAUUAUUCCAUUGUGUAUAUGUGCCUCUGAUUAUUGACACUCUAGUAUAUUAAUGAUGUAUUAAUAUUAGUGGUAUUUUCAACAUUAGCAAUAUAUUAAAGUAUUUUCUAAAAUAUAUCCAGAAAUAUUGACCACCAUUAUUAGGAAUAUGUUCUGCAUUUUCCAACAGAGGCAGCUAUUUUAGCAUUUAUUAGACACCCUGUUAAGCUUUAUUCUGCUCUUUUUAACAAGGGAACUGUGGUAGGUAAUUUUAUGUGUCAGCUUGACUAUAGUUCCCUUUUACUCAAACAGUAAUCUAGGUGUUGCUGUGAACAUUUUCUGUACAUGUGGUUAAUAUCUACAAUCAUUUGGCUUUAAGUAAAGGAGAUUACCCUUGAUAUGUGGUGGCCCUCAUUUAAUCAGUUGAAGGCAUUAAGAGCAAAAUCUGAGGUUUCCAAGGAAGAAAUUCUGUCUCAGGACUGCAGCAUCUAUCUGAGUUUCAAGCAGGUCUGGCUGCUGUACAAAUUUUGGACUUGCUGGACCUUCUGAUUCGUGUGAGUCAAUUUCUUAAAUUUCUUUGUGUUUGUAUCUAUAGCUAGCUACCCAUCCACUCAUCUUUUUGGUCUACUUUUUCUUGAGAACCCUGACUGGUUCAGGAAUAGAUUUGCCUAAAAAUUGGCUAAGGUUAGGAGAACUGCCCGUGCCUGUAGAAAAGAGGCUUUCUCGAUGGAAAGAUGAUUAAAGCCAUUUAACGAUCAAAUCUAUAAACUUAAUCUCACAGGACCACCAUGUUGUACAAUAAGGACCCAAAGUGAUGAGCCCAGACCGAGAUCUGUUUUUUUAAUAAAGCACUUUAUUUGUUAAUUACAUUAUGUAUAUUUGUUUCAAGGCCAGAAUGGGAGAACCCGAAUGCCAUGAGUCAUCACAGUGGGGCUGUCUUUGUCCGGAUUGUUCAGCCUAAUUGCUGACCAGAUGACUUCCCAGUGACAGAACAGGCUGUUCGAUGUGUCACCUGCCGAGGAGUGGACUUUAUGUUUUAUAUCAAACCCCUCUUCAAAUACUGAAUACACCAGAGAAACAACAAGCUAGAAUUAGAAAAAUACUUUUCUUCUGAAAUCGUAACUGCAUAUAACCUCAAUACAAUUUUGUCUUCUUGAGGAGGCCAUAUAUAUUCCUGCUCCAACCAAUACGAUUAAAAUGCUGUUUCCUCUGUUCUCAGUGAAACAAGAUUUUUAAAAUUCAAAUUCAAGUGUAUUCAAAGUCUUCCUAUAAAAACAAUUUCUUUAAAACAUUUUUGUAAAACAGUAUUGUAAAAUUAGCCAAAUCCACUAAAUACAUGGAAAAGGGGGGGGCAACAGGAAUUUGAAUGACUUUUUGAGGAACUAACAAAGGAUUCCUAUCUCUCAAAGAAUAUCCAGUUGAACAAGUCUUCAUCUCUAGCCUGCGAUUUUUUUUCUUUUAUUUAUAUUUAAAACACUUGAGUUCAAAUAAAGAAAAGUUUAUGAUAAAAUUAGUAUAUUCUUUUGUUGUGUGACAUCCAUUUCCCAGAUUUAUAUGAGCAUUUUGAAACAAAAUCAGAAAAAUGUGUUCCUUACAUUACCAUCCCCUAAGAUUUGGGUUUUGCUGCUUUGAAUGUCAACUACAGCAGAAGUUUUUCUGUGUAAAACACACUGUAUCCUUUCCAGGGCGUACUAAGUUAACUUAGCAUAUUGAAUGUUAAAUUAAACAUUCUACAUACUAUCAUAAAAGAUAACCAAAUGAAACUGUUACAUAAAUAAAAGCAAAUUGUCCCCAGAUAUUUAUAUUUUUAUAUGAUAUGUGUGUGUUGGUAUGGGUAUUUAUUUAAAAAGGAAAAAUCUGGAAGGACACGGAAGUUUUAUCAGUAGUUACCUCAAGGGUGAGGAAGGUGGUAGGAUGUGGAGCUGAGGGUAAAAGGAGAUUUCUCUUUAAAUUCAUUUGCAUUAUAUAUUGAGGGAUGUAGGAAAAAUGGAAGUUGCUGUGGCCGGGAUCCUCACCUGACCCUGAUAUACUCAUGCACUGUGCACAUGCAAUACUCACAGGCACACGCUUGCACAAUAUUGACAGGGAGGUAUUAUUGACACUACAUAAAGAGCUCUGCCCAGUGUUCUGGUGCUGCAAGUCAUCAGAGAGGCCUGGAGGCAGAGACCAGCUUGCUGCAUGCAGACUGCCCCAGAGGCAGAUAGGAUUCUAGCAUUUGACCUGCCACCACAAGAAUAAAAUUGGGUGUAAAUCCUUUCACCCCCAACAUUGUCAUUUUUCAGUCUCACUGAAUCCAGAGUGAACUUUCCCAGGGCUAAAACCCUCAGGCAAGACAUUUGGUGAAGUUGGCAGGAUUCACUAUGGACCAAAAAAUGGCACAAGCUGCCCUCAUUGGGAGGGGUGCUUCAGCAGACUGCCCUUAUUUGGCUGGAGAAAUACUGCAGGAAUCCCUUACGGAUGAGGAGGAAUUUAGGUAUCCCCAAGUGGGCAUGUGGGCCAAGGUGGUUUUAUUCCUAAAGGGGUGGGCCCCUCCCUGGGACUUGGGGGAGGUGGAGGUG